AUUGAACGCUGGCGGCAUGCCUUACACAUGCAAGUCGAACGGCAGCAUAGGAGCUUGCUCCUGAUGGCGAGUGGCGAACGGGUGAGUAAUAUAUCGGAACGUGCCCUAGAGUGGGGGAUAACUAGUCGAAAGACUAGCUAAUACCGCAUACGAUCUACGGAUGAAAGUGGGGGAUCGCAAGACCUCAUGCUCCUGGAGCGGCCGAUAUCUGAUUAGCUAGUUGGGGGGGUAAAAGCCUACCAAGGCAACGAUCAGUAGCUGGUCUGAGAGGACGACCGGCCACACGGGGACUGGGACACGGCCCAGACUCCUACGGGAGGCAGCAGUGGGGAAUUUUGGACAAUGGGGGCAACCCUGAUCCAGCAAUGCCGCGUGAGUGAAGAAGGCCUUCGGGUUGUAAAGCUCUUUUGUCAGGGAAGAAACGGUAGUAGGGAAUAACGACUACUAAUGACGGUACCUGAAGAAUAAGCACCGGCUAACUACGUGCCAGCAGCCGCGGUAA
rnacentral:rRNA from 1 species